AUGGUGUACCGAUCAACUAACCCGUUGCGUAGGUUGACGCAACGAAGGUGAUCAAGAUAUUGUUCGGAUACCUUGACAAGAGGUGGAGGAGGACAGCAACCACAUGGCGCACAGGGACCGGUGCAUUUCAGCAACUUGCGUUGUUGCUCCAGUUGCUGACGUUCUCGCUGCACGUUAGCAAGUUCUAUCUGCAUGUUGCGUACUUCGCAUUCUAUAUUGCCCAGCUGUUGUUCCUAGAAUUGUUGUCAACGCAUAAGUAUGUAAAAUUGGAGCAAAACUCAGUUAUGAGUAAUUAUGUAACCAAGUUGCCCAGCUACCAGUUACAUAAUUACUCAUAAUUGCUUAGAGCAACAAGCGUGUCCCUGCGACUCGUUCAUUAAGACUCAAUUAUGUUUUGUAGAUGUACUAUCUGUUUGGUGUUGGUGCCAUAGGAUGCAAGUUGGUUCUCCAGUUCCGCGGGACACGUCCCUCUCGGAGGUGGACACGGCUGGCAUGGCGGCUUAACAGCGGCUGGACUGCGACAACACAUUCCGUCGACUUGCGAAGAAGCACUGCUCUCGGUACAAGCUUUUGUUCUUGACGCGCCACCCGCGAGUCUAGGAUUGAGGACUCGUUGUCCAAUUGAAUGGAUAUGUACCGCAUACGGAAUUGCCUCGCGGUGACAAACUGUCAGCGAAUGGUGGCUGAAGGCAACACUUGCACGGACAGUAAUCGUCGUCCUGCUGCACCGUAGUGGUGUACGAAUACGAACGAAAAGGAGACGGGCUUGAUGUUGGAGAGGUUUCGAGUGCGGAUACGGUAGCAUGUCGAACAUUUUCGAAAAGGUGACGCUAGAGAAAUCGGACAAGCCCAGCGAACGUUGCACCUUCCUGGUUAUCUCCUCGAAUUCUGCCAGCUUCGACAUGAUUUCAUUCUGCUUCGACUGAAUCGCCAUUGUGUCCUCCGCCGUUAAAUCCUUUUUCUAUAAAACGACACAACGAUAGCAAAUAAACGAAACACCUGGAAGUUAAACGAGUGUCGAGAUAUAUUUUAGAAGGCAUUACCACGGUGAGCUGAGAUAUUUCAAGUUUUAAUGUUUCAAUCUCUUUCGCCAGCACAGCGCAACGUUCGUCUGCUUUCUUCAGUUCUUCCUGUACAGCGGAGUCUGUCAAAGGAGAUGAGCUCAACACGGAUUCCACUCUACCACCAGGCUUGAUCGGGACACCUGGAUAAAAAAUACGUUAAUCGAAUUAAUUUUAAGUAAUUAAUCAUUGUAUACUAAAAGAAACUAUUUCUCUCAGGUAAAUUUUGAUCCAUUAUGUAUUAUAAUUCUGUUACAAGGGGUGCACCUUCACCAACACCAGGCGGAAGCGGAUAUUCUGGAGGCUGGCCUUCUUCAAACUUCUCUGUAGCCCCAUCAUCGACUUCAUCUACCGCUGCAUUGUCCUCUUCUUCUGGUACAGUUUCCUCUGGCGUGUCACCCUCGACAUCUUCAAACUCUUCUUCAGCAACUUCUUCUAACGCUUCUCCCUCGUUUUCAGCCAUGCUGAAAUGAAAUUAAUUUAGCGACGAAAUAACUGCCGACACAUAACUGAAAAUUAAAUGUAUUUUACGUCGAUAA